rnacentral:tRNA from 1 species
GGGGAUGUAGCUCAGUGGUAGAACACCUGCUUAGCAGGUAUGAGGCCUUGGGUUCAAUACCCAACACCA